GGGGUUGUAGCCCAGCUGGUUAGAGCGCUUGCUUGACAUGCAAGAGGUCAUCGGUUCGAGUCCGUUCAACCCCA
rnacentral:tRNA from 1 species